GCAGUCGCCGCGGGAAUACGAAGGGUGCAAGCGUUACUCGGAAUUACUGGGCGUAAAGCGUGCGUAGGUGGUGGUUUAAGUCCGUUGUGAAAGCCCUGGGCUCAACCUGGGAAUUGCAGUGGAUACUGGAUCACUAGAGUGUGGUAGAGGAUAGUGGAAUUUCCGGUGUAGCAGUGAAAUGCGUAGAGAUCGGAAGGAACAUCUGUGGCGAAGGCGACUAUCUGGGCCAACACUGACACUGAGGCACGAAAGCGUGGGGAGCAAACAGGAUUAGAGACCCCGGUAGUCCCUGUCUCUUAUAC
rnacentral:rRNA from 1 species